rnacentral:rRNA from 1 species
GUGGCGAACGGGUGAGUAACACGUGAGCAACCUGCCCCUGACUCUGGGAUAAGCGCUGGAAACGGCGUCUAAUACUGGAUAUGAGCUCCUGCCGCAUGGUGGGGGUUGGAAAGAUUUUUUGGUUGGGGAUGGGCUCGCGGCCUAUCAGCUUGUUGGUGAGGUAAUGGCUCACCAAGGCGUCGACGGGUAGCCGGCCUGAGAGGGUGACCGGCCACACUGGGACUGAGACACGGCCCAGACUCCUACGGGAGGCAGCAGUGGGGAAUAUUGCACAAUGGGCGGAAGCCUGAUGCAGCAACGCCGCGUGAGGGAUGACGGCCUUCGGGUUGUAAACCUCUUUUAGCAGGGAAGAAGCGAAAGUGACGGUACCUGCAGAAAAAGCACCGGCUAACUACGUGCCAGCAGCCGCGGUAAUACGUAGGGUGCAAGCGUUAUCCGGAAUUAUUGGGCGUAAAGAGCUCGUAGGCGGUUUGUCGCGUCUGCUGUGAAAUCCCGAGGCUCAACCUCGGGUCUGCAGUGGGUACGGGCAGACUAGAGUGCGGUAGGGGAGAUUGGAAUUCCUGGUGUAGCGGUGGAAUGCGCAGAUAUCAGGAGGAACACCGAUGGCGAAGGCAGAUCUCUGGGCCGUAACUGACGCUGAG